rnacentral:lncRNA from 1 species
UUUGCAACACAAUCCACCUGAUGAGUCACUGAUACUGUUGGUGAGAGCCUAAAUAAUCAUCAUUCCAACUAGAAGAAUGCUCGUGCUUGCUCUCUGUUGCCAUAGAAACAGUGCAGCUCCAGUCUCCCUGUUGCUUUGGUAACCCACCCCCCUUUCCUCACAUCACUACUGCUGGGGUAUUUUGCUGCCAAGAUAAUGGUCUCUAUUAUGGAUUGAAUGUUAAUGGGCAGUCCUUUCCCCCAGACUACACCCAGCCCCUUCUGCAGCUCCACAUUUGAAGGCCUUGUCUAAGUGGCAUCUCAAUGAGAUGGUAAUAGAUACUUGAAUCAGCUGGAGAGGAGCUGUAGUGAUGGGGGUGGGAGGGGAUAGAAGAAGCAUUCAGCUUCUAAUCUUGAAAAGGGAGGACUGGGAGCUUGGAGAGGCAAAAAUGAGGAAAUCAUCCAUUAGAGUGCCUCAGCUGUGUAUGAAGUCCUAAAGCCAUUUCUUCCAGUCAAUAAAAGGGCAUGGAAGUCAUCCAACAGCUGCUGGAGGGACUGUGCAGAGUUACGACGGAGACAGUGACUCCUCCAAAGGGGUCUCGAGGGCAUCAAAAUAUCCUGGAAAGAGUACACCAACUUGGAGCGUUCCAGCUGCAGCUCAAUCCUCACCUUGCUGUGUGAACUUGGAGUAGACACUUUCCCUCCUGCAUGAUGAAUGAAUGUCGUAUAGUUGGAGAAAAACAGAUAAUGAAUGUGAAGGGAUGCAUUGUGCUGGAGUCUCAAUCAAGUGCCUGGAAGCUGAACGUGAAAAACAGUGCUGCCAGGAUUACAGAGAUACUGGCCAUAAAUGCAUUCGUGGGCUCUCAAGAAGCAUUAGGGAUGCCAUGAAGGAGGGGCAUUUUUACUUUGUGUCCUACCAAAUUCACUUAAUUAUACAUUGCAAUGAGGAAAGUGUGGGAAACAGCAAAUCUGAUCUUAGUGUGCCUUCGACUAAUCCAAGCUUAUUGUUUGUGAGUUACUAUUGUGAAAUGAUCCCCUGUGCAUAUAAUGCAGUUAGCUUCAAAUAAAAAUCUGUGGCUUCAGACCUCUCUUCCUUCUUUGCUUCUUUUCUUCUCCCUUUCUUCCUUUCUUUUCUUCUUGCUCCUUCUUUCCCUUCUUCCACUCUCUCCCUCCCUUCCUUCUUGCUUUUCUCCCUCAUCUCUCUCUGUCUUUUAAAUCUUUCCAUUUUUAUUUCUGCAUAUGAUGCUGGGCUUCCUUCCCUGUGGCUCCC